rnacentral:lncRNA from 1 species
GGACAUAGUAUGGGAUAAGGAGAUUGCUACUAGAAACCCAACCUCUACUAACGAGAGAGCUUCCAUCUCAAUAUCCUCUCGGUGCUAAGCGUAAAUCCCACUGAAUAGCCAUUUUCUUAACGUGUCUUUAAUAACCAUGGAAGGGCAUGCCAUCUUGCCAAUCCAAACUGAGUCAUAUGUCAUCCAUGGAAUGGUAAUAUCAAGUAACAAAUCCAAGCUAGUUUUCAUUAGAAUAGCG